UACAGAGGUCUCAAGCGUUGUUCGGAUUCAUUGGGCGUAAAGGGUGCGUAGGCGGCGCGGUAAGUCGGGUGUGAAAUCUCGGAGCUUAACUCCGAAACUGCAUUCGAUACUGCCGUGCUUGAGGACUGGAGAGGAGACUGGAAUUUACGGUGUAGCGGUGAAAUGCGUAGAGAUGCGGAGGAACACCGAUGGCGAAGGCAGCCCCCUGGGCUAGCACUGACGCUCAGGCACGAAAGCGUGGGGAGCAAACAGG
rnacentral:rRNA from 1 species